rnacentral:SRP_RNA from 1 species
GCCAGGCGUGGUGACUCACGCCUGUAAUCCCAGCACUUUGGGAGGCCGAGGUGGGCGGAUCACCUGAGGUCAGGAGUUCAAGUCCAGCCUGACCAACAUGGAGAAACCCCAUCUCUA